ensembl:lncRNA novel transcript
GGUAACUGACAUGAAAAUGGAUUGCUUCACAUUUUAAUUACAAAGAUACUCUUCAGUACCAUAAAUUGAAGAAAACACUAACUUUUUGUGGCUACUGUAAUUGUCAAAGUAUAAUUACCUGUGUUUUCUCACCUACGUAUUUGAGAUAGAGACAAAACCAAAUUGAAGCUUUGUGGCAACUCUGUGAACAGCAAGUCUGUCAGUGCCAUUUUUCCAAUAGCAUGUGCCUACUAUGUGUCUGUGUAUGUCAUUUUGUUAAUUUCUGCAACAUUUCAAACUUUUGUAUUAUUAUUAUAUUUGUUAUGGUGAUUUGCGA